AAUAUUGGACAAUGGGCGAAAGCCUGAUCCAGCCAUGCCGCGCGUGUGAAGAAGGUCUUCGGUUUNUCAAGCACUUUAAGUUGGGANGAAGCGCAGUAAGUUAAUACCUUGCUGUUUUGACGUUACCGACAUAAUAAGCACCUGCUAACUUCGUUCCAGCAGCCGCGGUAAUACGAAGGGUGCAAGCGUUAAUCGGAAUUACUGGGCGUAAAGCGCGCGUAGGUGGUUUGUUAAGUUGGAAGUGAAAGCCCCGGGCUUAACCUGGGAAUUGCUUUCAAAACUGACGAGCUAGAGUACGGUAGAGGGUAGUGGAAUUUCCUGUGUAGCGGUGAAAUGCGUAGAUAUAGGAAGGAACAUCAGUGGCGAAGGCGACUACCUGGACUGAUACUGACACUGAGGUGCGAAAGCGUGGGGAGCAAACAGG
rnacentral:rRNA from 1 species